GCUCCUUCUAAUUUUUCAGCUUUUAGUUUUGCAAUCACGCAUCAUGAAGUCACAUGUGGGUCAAUGCAAUGCUUGAGUGUUGCUCGCCUUUGUGCUGUGUGA